AACGCGAAAACAUCUAGAAGCAACGAAACGCAGUUUAACCGAGAAAACUUGUGAUUACUUUGAAAUUGAAAUUUUUUAACAAGAAAAUACAAGGAGAAUUAUUUGUCAGUAAUUUUAAAAGAAAUAAAACCGAAAUAUACAAAAUAAAUUAGCAGUUAUAAUAAAAUUAAAAUAAUUACACGGAGGUAAAGCGCACGAAUCCUCAAUAGAAAUUUCCUAAUAAGUUUCCCCACAUUGCCUUAAAAUGGCAUCAGCGAGUGCAACAUAUGCAUCAUUCCAAGAUAGAGCCCAAGGAUUCAUUAAUGGAUUAGGCGAUAAAUAUGAGCCGUAUGUGCGCACUCAUUUGGCUAAAGUGUACAUGGUACUAGGAGCGGCCACUGCAAGUACUGCCGUGGGAGCCUUGCUGCAAUUAUGGGGCUUUAUUAACCUUGGAUUAUUGGCAGCUUUAGCUUCCCUAGGCCUAGUAUUAGGACUCCAUUUCUAUAGAGACGAUGGAAAAAAUUAUUAUACUCGCUUUAGCAUGUUAAUGGCAUUUGGCUUUUGUUCCGGCCAGACACUGGGGCCGUUAAUGCAGUACAUAAUAAGCAUUAAUCCAUCGAUAAUAAUUACUGCACUCACAGGCACUGUGGUAACCUUCGUAUCACUCUCAUUGGGUGCUUUGCUAGCGGAACGUGGUAAAUACCUCUUUUUAGGCGGACUGCUCGUCAGUGUCAUAAAUACCAUGGCAAUACUUAGCCUUUUCAAUAUGUUUUUCCAGUCAUACUUUGUUCAGUUGGCUCAACUGUACGUUGGGGUAUUUGUAAUGGCCGCUUUUGUGGUGUUUGACACACAAAACAUAAUAGAAAAAUGUCGGGCCGGAAACCGUGAUGUCGUACAACAUGCCUUGGACUUGUUCUUUGACGUUUUGAGCAUGUUUAGGCGUUUAUUAAUCAUUUUAACUCAAAAGCUAAAGCAGCAAUUACUUUCAUAAUAAUUGAACUAAACGCUCAAUAUGUUAUGAAGAUAUAAACGAAACAAGCAAAUCCAAUGAUGUCAAACUGAACUUAGAAAUUAAAGCUGCACCCAAUGGAGGAACGUAAACGUGAGGAACGUCGUAAAAGAAACUAAAUAACAGUCCGACCUGGAAUGUCAAAUCCUCUUAAUAUUUAAUAUGUUAUAACUUUUCGAAAAUAACUUAUACCAUAAAUUCAUUAUUAAUAUUACAUUUUAAACCGAAUAGAAAUUCAACUGUUUUGUUUAUUCCA
rnacentral:misc_RNA from 1 species